UACGUAGGGGGGCGAGCGUUGUCCGGAUUUAUUGGGCGUAAAGAGCUCGUAGGCGGCUGUUCGAGUCGGGUGUGAAAUCCUGAGGCUUAACCUUGGGUCUGCAUUCGAUACUGGGCGGCUUGAGCCUGGUAGGGGGAUCUGGAAUUCCUGGUGUAGCGGUGGAAUGCGCAGAUAUCAGGAGGAACACCGGUGGCGAAGGCGGGAUCCUGGGCCAGUACUGACGCUGAGGUGCGAAAGCGUGGGGAGCAAACAGG
rnacentral:rRNA from 1 species